UUAGUUUCACCACCAAAUUCAAUUUUGUUGCUUCUGUAAAUUUAUUGUGUGAACUAUUUGGAUUAAUCCAAAGCCUCACAAUAAUUUUUAGAAUUAUUGGAGUUACAAAAAUAAUUAUAGGCAUUUAUAACCCCAACUCAAAUACCUAUUGAUUUAAUUCAAUGACCAUAAAUGUCAAGCAAAAAUGGGCAUCAUUUCUGCUUAGGUGUUCACCCUUUUCCAUAAAUAAUGAACAUUUUUUAAAGACAUUUUGGGUUCACUGAAAAAUAUUUUAGUUGAACCUAUUUGAAUUAUAUUGAUGCUAGGGUUUGAACCAUCCCCAUUUCAAGUUUCAAAUAAAUUAAGACAUGAUGCAUGGAUGCUUAUGCAACUAUUUGCAAUCAAAUUCUAGGGCUGUGACAUCUCACCCCCACUAACAAGAAUCUCGUCCCGAGAUUCAAGACAUGAGGUAAGAAGACAAAGGGGAAACAAAGCCAACAUAAUCUUCUCGGUCCAACUGCCCUUCUCGAAGAUGUUGAUUCAUUGCUUCAUAUUGAUCUUGACAUCUUUGCUUUCAAGAUCUUUGUCCAACACGAUAUGACAGAAAGGAACCCUACAAGAAUCGAUCUUCUCGAAGAUCGAGCAAGUCAUGAUCAACUGAUGGAAUGAGAUGUAAGAAACAGAUGACGACGGUUCAAUUCGGUGGGCACAAUUCCACGCUUGAGUAAGAUGAUGCAUAUUUCAACGUAGCAAGGAGAUAAUUGCCAUGAUUCCAUAUUGGGGCACCCUAGGGGAGGUGACUCAUAGAAUUAUUCCCUUAAGUGGCAAAAUAAUUACUUUUGAUACAGAGAUCAUUGAAACUCUCUAUACCAGCCUAAGGAAAAUCACAAUUGAUCAUUUGAAGGAAUUCGAAAGAAUGGCAUACUCGGGCUAGAAUGAAUGAUGUGGACUACCUUGUUGAAGACAAUGCAAUGGAUGAUUUCUUCUUCUCAUCGAGAAAGGAUAGGGCCAAGAUAAGCUCACUUUUGAAGAUGGUCCCAGACAACAAUUGUCGAGAAGGUCAACCCAUGGUAAGAUGGUACAGUUACGGGUGCAAGCUGGGAACAAAAUGCAAAUGUUGGGAAUGUUCCAACCAUCAUAUCUGCCUAAUAUUCAGAUAUGGUUGGUAAUGAAAUAUUUCAGACAGCUUGUCUGGAAAAGAAAGUUUGCAACACAAAUCGACGAGAUGACGUUGCGAGAUUCUCAGGAGAUGAACUACGAUAGCAAGCUCCAAAACAUGAGUUGGCUCUGCUAAACACAUGUGAACACGCUGUCCCAGACAAGCAUGACCACACAGUAAUCUUAUAAUAAAACACUACCGAGUUCAAGUUGGGAACCAUCAUUGCGGGGAGCGAAGCCCUUGCAUAAGUCAUAUGAUUAGCUCUUAUGAAGGAACUUCUUCUCCUUGAACAAGUCAAUCAGUGGCUUGGUGUACUAGGGAUUACAUAUGGAAUGGAGAUGAUCAGUCUAUCAGACCAUAGAAUGCUUCGCACGUGCAUGACUGACUUGGGAUGGUUCCAAAGGAAGCAAAAUACAAGCUUUCUCGACUUCACGGCGGCAACUUGCUUCAAAUGCACUUGAACUAGAGGAAGUAACUUCUUUCAUCCAAACAUAUGCUUUAUGAACGGGACAUGAAGAUAAUGCUUAUAAAAGUUUCCAACACUAACAUAGAUGUCCAGCAUGAAUCAUGGAUAAGAUGAAAAUGUUGUCAAUGGGCUCAACAAAAAUCCAUCCAGGCUUCCAUAUAGGUGGAAUUCCACAAUUAAGUGAACACGGUGAUAGCAUUGGUCAGACCAAAAGAUGUAAUGGUGUAUGCUUGAGGGAUCAACCACGAGUAAGACAACAUUACGAACAUCAUUGGUCCUGAUUUGAUUUGACGAUAGCCCAUGCGCAAAUCAAAGAUUGGAUAAGACAAUAGUGCCGACAAUUGAUCACCAGGAUCAAUCGAUGAAGAUAUCAUCUUUCUUCAACAAACACACAAACACAAGGAUAUCCCUUUGGAGAUGAACUAGGUGGGACAAGCUUUCAUCUUCCAACUCUCCAAGUUGUUGUCUAGCUCAACCAACUAGCUCAGGGAUAUCCAACACAGAUUCUUGGGGAAGGGGUGGUUUAUAAGAAAACCAACUUGAACGCGAGCUCAACAUAACGGUCAGGGGACAACCUGGUGAUACUUCCGAGAGGAUAUUCAGAAAAUCACGAACCACCGAUAUGUUAUUAAGCUCGGGAAUAAUCCUGCUUUUCAGGGCAAGACGAUAUGAUCAAAUAAGCGAGGGAUUGGCACAAACCUAACUCAUUGAUCGAAAUGUGCACCAGAAAUAUGGACUAGGUAGCACGAUCAAUCAUAGGAUGAUGAUUCAAUAAUCAGCAUGCUAAGAAUGAGAGUAUUGUCCAUUAACUACCAAGCAACGGAGUUGCUAGGAGUAUUGAUUUCACGCAUCAUAGUUCACUUGUUGGCAUUCCGGUUACAAUAACACAGAACCGAGGAAUGAAACAAUGAUGGCGAGAAGUAUCACUGCAUCAAGAAUUCAUAAGAGAUGGUGCAAUUCUCAUGACAGUCCUGACAUAAAGGGGGUAAUACUCCAGGGUAGAACAGAGCAAAAGCUGGAUUGGCAUUUUGAUCUGCGAAAUACAACUAGUUUGACCCAAUCCACGGAAUGGACAAGGUACUGGAGUUUGUUUCUCCUACUCAUUCCGGAAUAGAAUGGCUUGACGGACCACAAGAGUAAUAGGCAUCGAUGAACGAUGCACGCAUACUCUUGACUAUCAAAUGUUAUACGGAGGUCACAAUACAACUAAAGAGAACAACUCAAAGGAAUAUAUAAUUUUCUGAGUUGUGGACGCAUAGAUUAGUAUGUCGAACAAGUUCAACAUAUUUCUUCCGGAUAACUCAUGCAGAAGAUGAAGGGCUGGCAGGUUCACAAUAUCUAAUCGAGAACUCGUCAAGAGCACUCUGGUUGUGAUAUUUUUGGUUCAAAAGAACUUCUGCUGAGGAUGGUUCAUGGUAUUGGAAGAAUGAUAUACCACAAACCUCGAGGACUAUCGCAAAGGUUACUAAUAUCCUAAAGGAACUAGCAAACACUAUCAAUAUGAAGUAAGUAGGGUGAAUCUCGCGUUCAAAACCCAGAAAUAGAAUGCCUACUAACUAAAUGGCAUCACGGGAUGCUUUCGAGAGUAAUGGCCAGAAUCAUCACACUAGGAAUAUGAAGCAUUGCUUGAUUACGGGUGGUUCUCUAGGAUGCCUAGGGUCAAAUACUAGCUCCAACAUAUAUGUCAAGGCAAUGUAGUACCUCAACAAACCGUUUAGUGUGCUUAAUCUGGCCCAAAAGGAUAUUGGGAACUGGGAGGAAGGAUUUGCAAAUGCAUCAGACUAUUGAGAAACCUGGGAUGACUCGAACAGCAUAACGGUUGUAAAUGCUCAAAAAUAUUUGAGACAUCCUGCAAAAAUGGUGGCAUAACCACUCAACAUCACAAUAUCAAGGUUCUGAGAUUAACUAACAACACACGAAAGUAGUAGGAAUAGAACUGGGGCUUGAAACCAUCAAUCCUAUAAGUCUACGGAUUAGUAACACGUGAUCCUGAUAGAAAUAUGAGAAGCCUAGUUCUUAAUCCCCGUAGAAAAGAAGAGGUUAACUCAGAUCAGAAGGGCAUAAGGUAAAGGAGUAAAAAGAGCCUUACGUUCCCUUCCACAAUCAAUUCCCUUAUAUAACUAAAGCAUUUCUGGACUCGACUUCGACCAGUUUGGCUUGGUAAUGCUACAGGCAGUCAGGCUCUGAUACCAAAGCUGUCAGGACCCCGAUCCUAAGCCACAUUGAUCUAGCAUGUGACACAUCAUAUCACUUUGCGGCCUCACGCACGAUAUCCCCACGGGUGCCACCUUACCUGGCCUGGGACCGUUGGUGCCUUUUGGCUCACGUAUAUGAUAGUGUCGCUAGCAUCCAUAUGACAGAGAACCCGGGCCGACAUGACUAGCCGUGAACCCAAAGUGGCACUAACUUACAAGGACAGGCAUACAUGACCCAGCAACGAACGUGUCGGUCAUCAGCGAGUGAAUUUGGGUUGUAGCAACCGGGCUAGCAGGACUCCGGAAAUCCGGUCUGUAGCAGGCUAACAGGACUCCGAAAGACACCGCGUGACAUUUCCCCGAAGGGACAGACACAGGAUCGAAGAAGGACACAUGCCGGCCAGUCUAAGUGUUCCGGAGCAGUAGCAACUGGGCUAACAGGACUCCGGUAAACCGGGAUGUAGUAGACUACCAUGGCUCGGCGGAAGCACUAGACUACAUUUCCCCAUAAGAGAGGCUACCAAGAAUAGAUAACUAGGUUGUCAGAUGCCACACAUACCAAGCAUUUCAAUCAUACACACAAUAUGCUCGAUAUGUGUAAAUACAACAUGGCAUCAGAACAAAACUCUACGACUCAAAGUAUUUAUUCAUUAGGCUCCGAGGAGCCAGAUAUUACAAACAUGGGUCUGAUGACCCAGCAUUCAAGCCAUACAAGCAAUAAGCACAUGCGGAAGCUUAACUUGUCUGAGUACAGACAACUACAAAUGAAAAAGGCUGAGAAGCCUGACUAUCUACAAGACCCUGCCGAGGGCACAAGAUCGUAGCUGAGGUUACAAGCUAAACGUCAAAGUCCACACGGAAGUACUAGCGAGACUGAAGUCUCUCUGCAAAAACAUAUAUUAAGCAAACGUGAAUACAAAUGUACCCAGCAAGACUUACAUCAGAACUAACUACAUAUGCCUCGGUAUCAACAAAGGGGUGGUGGAGUUAAACUGCAGCAAGCCAGCAUUGACUCGGUGGCUAUCCUAAACUACGACUGCAAGUAACUCUUUUGAGGUGGCACACAUGAGUCCACAUAUUCACCAUAUCAAUACACCACUAUGGAUCCGCUUCCGUCUACCUACGAGAACGCCAUCCAUAGCACUCACGCUUAUCUUGCGCAUUUUAGGGUAUCCACUUUCACUUGUCUAUGAACUGUACAGGCAACCCAGAAGUCCUUUACCGUGGACACGGCUAUUCGAAUAGAACAUGUUAACCCUGCAGGGGUGUACUUCUUCACACACGCUCUCGCCACUUACCACCAUGUACACGUCGUGUAUCUCGGCAACCUUCAAGCGGAAGCCUGUCGAGGGAGUCGGCCACGACCUGACUAACCACACAAGUCUCUAGUCCAGGUUUAUCGCCUAUUCAGGUUCCAUCCCCAAGGAGAUCCGGCCGAGGUGUCACUCACGGCCCCAAACGAUGUGUGCAGGGUUCCCAAGCCCACCAAACGGGCGACGCUUGGUAUACCCGGCCACGGUGCCUAGUCUGUCCCAAGCCCACCUGUACCGGGUGCUACUUGGUAGACUACUAACACUACCUACAAACACCAGAAACUAGUUGCAACUCCUGGACAGAGAUCAGGUUGAUUAAUAAGUCGAGAGAGCUUGGAGUGCCCGGAGCCCAAUGUGUGGUAGUAAGUGUUCAUGGAUCACAACACAGAACUCAGUUCCUAAGGACGGUUUCAAUGAGACAACCCACCAUGUACUCCUACAUGGCCUCUCACCGCUACCUUUACCAAAUCGUGUUCACACACUUAGCUCUCAAUAGUAGGACAUGAUCACUACUUUCCAAUUCAUCCCCGAUGAAUCAGACCUGACAGAACUCUAAGCAAUAGCAGGCAUGACAAACAAGAAUGAAUGAGUAGGCACAUCAGGGCUCAAACAACUCCUACUCAUGCUAGUGGGUUUCAUCUAUUUACUGUGGCAAUGAUAGGUCAUGCAGAGGAAAGGGGUUCAACUACCGCAGCAUGUAACAGUUGAAAUGUUGUUGUCCUAAUGUAGAAAAAGAGAGCAGGAGCGAGAGAGUGGGAUUGUAUCGGAAUGAACAAGGGGGUUUUGCUUGCCUGGCACUUCUGAAGAUAGUAUAGCUCUUCAUCAGUGUCAUCGAACUCAUCGUCGGCACAUACGUCUACUGAGGGGGAACAACCACCGGCAACAUAGAAAGAACACAAUCAAUGCAUUGCAAAUAUAUGAUGCAUGAUCAUGACAUGGCAAUAUGCUGUGAUUUGGGCUAUGCAGCUAGCAACAAUUUAAAUGGAGUUGGUUUGAAUACAAGAUUCAAAUUCAAACUCCACAUGUGGUUAUUUAAAUGUCAUUCAUUCAAAUUGUCUUAUACAGCAGCUUUAGGUUGUUCAAACAUGCAUGAAAAUGUUAUAAACAGAUUCUUUGGAUUUUUCUGAUCAUUUUUCAUAUAUAACUUAUUUCAUUUGGAGUUACGGUUGAAUUUCUAUGAUUUUUCAAAGUUUGCAACAUUUUCUAAAAUUUCCAAAUCAUUUUUGAAUUAGAAAUAUUCCAGAAAAUGCUUACUGCGUCAGCAUGACAUUAGACUGACAUCAGCAGGUCAGCUGACCAGGUCCAGGUCAAACCUAACAUGUGGGGUCCACACGUCAGUGGCACAGUGUUAACAGUGGGUUAUUUUAACUAACUAAUUGUUUUGCCCGCUAAUUAAACGAGCAGGGGCCACCCGUCAGUGUCACUAAGGGGGGAGGUGAUUAGCCUUAACUAAUCUCCUGACCGGCGGGGGCCACCGAUUAGUGGCUCAGGCGACGGCUCGUCGCCGGCGACCAUUGGUCGCGGUGGAGUCCGCGUUUGAAGCCUCGGGAGCGGCGGCUAAGGGCACCAGGAGGUAGCCCGAGCACGCCCGCAUCCAGGGAAGCAGGCGGCUGGGUGCGGGGGCGCCGGAGCUCGUCGGAAACGAGUCCGUGGCGGCGGUGGUUCUCGGCCAGGAUGGGAACGGCGGCUUCGGCGGCCAAAUGAGAACGGAAGCUAGGGGGAGAGGCAGAGGAGCUCACAGAGAGGUCGGUGGAGGUCUCAGCGGGCUCGGGGACGGCUCGAGCAAAGCAAACUGACGACAGCGAUCUCGGGCGCCCAAGGAAGGAGACGAUGAUGGCGACGAGGAUGUAGGGCCUCCGGGCUCGUGAUCUUCGGCGGCGAGACGUGGCUCAGCACAGCGUAGCUCUGGGCCGGCCGGUGGCGCUUGGUGACGACGGCGGCCACGCGAGCGAAGCACGGCGGCGACGGCUGGCUCUCGGGUGGCUGCGGGAACGCGAGGGGAAGGAGGGAGAACGACCAGAGAGAGGGGAGAGGUGCAGGGGGGUUACGGGACGUCUCCAGGUGCGGAGAAGGGAGAGGGAUGAACCUCCAGCGCGAAGCAGGAGGUGGCGACCUCCCAGCGCGCGCGUGCUUGACUUCGCAUUUGCCUACUGGCAGAGGUUGAAGAAGACCACAACGCCCCUGGUGGGCUGGGCUGGCCAACUGGGCCGCCAGGUAAGUAGGGCCAGGUUUGCUUCCUUAUUUUUUCAACCUUUUCUAAUUCUUUUCCAUUUACUGUUUUUAUUUAGCCUGUUUUUGAAUUUAGUUUCACCACCAAAUUCAAUUUUGUUGCUUCUGUAAAUUUAUUGUGUGAACUAUUUGGAUUAAUCCAAAGCCUCACAAUAAUUUUCAGAAUUAUUGGAGUUACAAAAAUAAUUAUAGGCAUUAAUAACCCCAACUCAAAUACCUAUUGAUUUAAUUCAAUGACCCUAAAUGUCAAGCAAAAAUGGGCAUCAUCUCUGUUACGGUUUUCACCAUUUUCCAUAAAUAAUGAACAUUUUUUAAAGACAUUUUGGGUUCACUGAAAAAUAUUUUAGUUGAACCUAUUUGAAUUUUAUUGAUGCUAGGGUUUGAAUCAUCCCCAUUUCAAGUUUCAAAUAAAUUUAGACAUGAUGCAUGGAUGCUUAUGCAACUAUUUGCAAUCAAAUUCUAGGGCUGUGAC
rnacentral:lncRNA from 1 species